rnacentral:rRNA from 1 species
AUUGAACGCUGGCGGCAGGCUUAACACAUGCAAGUCGAACGCCCCGCAAGGGGAGUGGCAGACGGGUGAGUAACGCGUGGGAACGUGCCCUUCGCUUCGGAAUAGCCCCGGGAAACUGGGAGUAAUACCGGAUACGCCGUAUUGGGAAAGAUUUAUCGGCGAAGGAUCGGCCCGCGUUGGAUUAGCUAGUUGGCGGUGUAAUGGACCACCAAGGCGACGAUCCAUAGCUGGUCUGAGAGGAUGAUCAGCCACACUGGGACUGAGACACGGCCCAGACUCCUACGGGAGGCAGCAGUGGGGAAUCUUGGACAAUGGGCGCAAGCCUGAUCCAGCCAUGCCGCGUGAGUGAAGAAGGCCUUAGGGUUGUAAAACUCUUUCGCCGGUGAAGAUAAUGACGGUAGCCGGAGAAGAAGCCCCGGCUAACUUCGUGCCAGCCGCCGCGGUAAUAC